rfam:Camelus ferus isolate Naran unplaced genomic scaffold scaffold825, whole genome shotgun sequence.
GAGGGUAUAGCUCAGUGGUAGAGCACAUGCUUAGCAUGCACAAAAUCCUGAAUUCAAUCCCCAGUACCUCCA